rnacentral:pre_miRNA from 1 species
GGGGGGAGUGCAGGAUCCUGGGUUGUGUCCCCUGGCACACUGGGAUCCGGGGCCUGCGCUGUGGAAUCACACUCCCAGGGCUGCAGCUCCCG